rnacentral:rRNA from 1 species
CUAAAAUUAAUAAUAGAAAACUUAUCAAUUUGUUUUGUAUCUUAGUUUACUGAGGAUAAGCUCAGUAAAAACAAUAAAAUAGUAUACAUCUCAUUUAGCUAGCUAUAUGGGCUUGAAAUUAGCCAUUGUGUUAAAGUUUGUUACAAAAUAGUUUUUACAUAUAGAAAGAUUGAUAUACUUUUUUUACAGGGGUAACAUGAAAAAUCAUGAUAUCUUGAUUCACUUAUGCUAGGAUGAGUAUUAAUGUAUAAAAUAUAUAAAACAAAAAUAGAAAGACAUAUAAAAUAACUUUGCUCAAAACAAAAUAAGAAUAAGGAAUUCAGCAACGCUUAGCUCCGCCUGUUUAUCAAAAACAUGGCUCUUUGUUAACUAAAUAUAAAGAGUCAGACCUGCCCAGUGAAGUUUUAACGGCCGCGGUACUCUGACCGUGCAAAGGUAGCAUAAUCAUUUGCCUUAUAAUUGAAGGCUUGUAUGAAUGGUUUGACGGGAGCAUUACUGUCUUUUUCUUACCCUAUAGAACUUGACCUUUGGGUGAAGAGGCCCAGAUACAGUUGAAAGACAAAAAGACCCUGUCGAGCUUAAAAAGGAAUCAGAAUAAUUUUAUUAUCCAAGAUUAAUUACUGACUAAUUUUUUUGGUUGGGGCGACCAAGGAACAAAAAAGCUUCCUCUAUUUUCUUAGCUAAUAAGCAUGGAUCCAGAAAAAGCUGAUUAAAAGAAGUAGUUACCGCAGGGAUAACAGCAUAAUCUCUCUUGAGAGACCUAAUCGAAAGAGGGGGUUGUGACCUCGAUGUUGGACUAGAAUAUCCCAAAGAUGCAGAAGUCU